GAUGAACGCUAGCGACAGGCUUAACACAUGCAAGUCGAGGGGCAGCGAGAAAGUGCUUGCACUUUUGUCGGCGACCGGCGCACGGGUGAGUAACACGUAUGCAACCUGCCCUUGUCAGGGGGAUAAGCGGGGGAAACCCCGUCUAAUACCGCAUAUAUGAUUUGGAGGCAUCUUUAAAUCAGGAAAGAAUUAUCGGACAAGGAUGGGCAUGCGGGACAUUAGGUAGUUGGGGGUGUAACGGACCACCAAGCCGACGAUGUCUAGGGGUUCUGAGAGGAAGGUCCCCCACACUGGUACUGAGACACGGACCAGACUCCUACGGGAGGCAGCAGUGAGGAAUAUUGGUCAAUGGGCGAGAGCCUGAACCAGCCAAGUCGCGUGAGGGAUGACGGUACUAAGUAUUGUAAACCUCUUUUGUCAGGGAACAAAGAGACCACGUGUGGUAAGAUGAGUGUACCUGAAGAAAAAGCAUCGGCUAACUCCGUGCCAGCAGCCGCGGUAAGAC
rnacentral:rRNA from 1 species